rnacentral:lncRNA from 1 species
UCUCUCUCUCUCUCUUGUUUCGAUGAUUGGCGUUGCGCAGAUCUACUUCCUUGUCUUCUAUGCUUACCCUUGCACAAUUCAGAUUUGCUUCCUUUCCUUUGUCACUUGAAGCUUUACCACCUAUUCUCACUCUUUGGCAAUUGAUCAGUGUUGCUUCACUUGUGGUGUGUUGCCUCCUCCCUGAUACUGCUUAUGAUUAUUGAUUUUGUUUUUUUAGAGUUUUUGAAAAGAAGUUUUGUUAUUAGUUUGUUUGGUUGCUUGGAAAUAAAAGAGAAUUAAAAAAGAGGAGAUUUUGAUUUGGAUAGAUUUUUUAUUAUCAUUUGGUUAUGUUGUAUUUUAUUGAUGAAAUUUUUUGCUUUUAUUUUGGUGGUUGAUUUUAGAUUUUACAGGUGGAGAGAGAGGUUUGAAAAAUAUAUGAAAUAAAUAAUCAAAUUGAAGAAUUCGUAAAAAAAGGAAAUAUCUCCUCCGUUUCCUUUUUUAUAAGGAUAUUGCCUUUGAUUUUGAAUAAAUAUAUAGAAAAUAAAAAUACUUUUGAAAUAUCACGGGGAAGUGGACUUGAUGUUGACAAUGCUUUCUUUCUCAAUUGUUUAAUAAAAAAAACAAAUGUUUUUA